AAAUUUAACUAGUAAAAACAACCCUGAGUCAGUAUGUAUUAAAGGAACACAUCAAAUGAAUUUGUUUUUUGUUAUAUAAAAAGAAAAUGAUCAAGUUUACAGUGAAAGCCGGCUUAGCAUCAGCUGCAGUUUAUUAUGUGAAAGAACAGGGGGUCUGGAAAACGAGUAAUGAAUCUGUAAAGACCUAUGAAAAACUGAAGAAAACGGUGGAUCCAUACUUACGACAUGUCAGUUCCAAAAUUCCACUUGAGUUUCCAGAAUUACCAGAAACUGAAAAGAUGUCAUCCCUUGCAAAACAAAGUUGGAAUCGAAGUGUAAUGGCCACUAUCAAAUUUCUUAGUGAAUUACCUAUAGCACUCACCGAUUGGACACAAAGAGGCAUAGAGUAUUCAAUGAAAAAUGAGGAAAUAGCCAAUUUUGUAGAAUCAUUUUCAAGUAAAAAAUAGUUGUAAUUGAA